rnacentral:rRNA from 1 species
GACGUAGGAUGCGAGCGUUGUCCGGAUUUAUUGGGCGUAAAGAGUUCGUAGGUGGUUUGUUAAGUCUGGUGUUAAAGACUGGGGCUCAACCCUGGGAGUGCACUGGAUACUGGCAGACUGGAGUGCAGUAGAGGCAAGCGGAAUUCCCAGUGUAGCGGUGAAAUGCGUAGAUAUUGGGAAGAACACCGGUGGCGCAGGCGACUCGCUGGGCUGUAACUGACGCUGAGGAACGAAAGCUAGGGGAGCAAAUGGG